rnacentral:lncRNA from 1 species
CUUGGUUUACAGUGGGAGGAGGCAUCAUAAAUUGCCCAUUCCCAUUCUGAUUCUGAGGUGGAGGAGUCAUCUGAUUCUGGUUUGGUCCAGACGGGUUCUGAUGCUGAGUUGGUGGAGCCAUAGGUUGACCGUAUGGAUUCUGAGUUGGUGGAGCCAUAGGUUGACCGUACGGAUUCUGAGUUGGAGGAGCCAUAGAGGGAUUCUGGGUCGGAGGAGCCACAGGUUGUCCGUAUGGAUUCUGAGGCUGGCUAGGGGGGUCCGAGUUUUGGCUGCUUGGUCUUUUU